rfam:Gossypium raimondii Chr04_contig_377, whole genome shotgun sequence.
AUUUAUUGAUGAGGGCAUCUUUGUAAUAGUUCUUUAAACCUUUCCCAUGCCUCAUACAAGGACUCGUCAUCCAUCUGUGGUAGUAAUCUCAUUCCUCAACUU